GCGGACGAAACUCACGCUGGGCUCAACCAAUCAGAGAGCCUAAACAAACCAACUUGAAUACCCACAAUUCCGUGCAGUUAUGGUGGUGCAUUAUAUGCAAAUUGUAUAAACACGAAAACGACAUUUGCUGCUGCUGGGUGCUUGUCAUCCAGCAAGCAAGGCAUCAAAUUCUUCAGCUUUCCAAGGGAACCAGCAAGUGUGGUGCUGUGGUGAAUACCUGACAACAGCUGUUUGAUGAUCACCUUGUGAACACAUUUGAAGCUAUUCGUUCGUAGUAUGGUUUGAACAAUAAUCCAACUGUGGGACAGUUUGUAGAUGCCCUGAAGACUAACAUCAUCAGUGCACUUGCUAUCAGAGGUCUGUGUGGAACUAGUUGUCAGAAGAUGAUCAGAGUUCAUUCUGCCCUGUAUCUGAAAAUAAUUAUAUUUCAGUCAAGAACUGUGUGGGAAAUUCUUCUCUGACUGAGAUGGCUCUUGUUUAUGUGUGUGGGUAAGAGUGAAGUGACAUUACUUUAUAAUUGACUUGCAAUCUUCAGGUUACCUGAUUCAGCGUGAAACACCGAGGAGCAGAAUCAAUGUCAGGUUAUAUUUUGUAAUUAAAUUUAUUAACUACUUCCUAGGUAGGAAGUUUUACUUA